rnacentral:rRNA from 1 species
AUGCACGCUGGCGGCGUGCCUCAUCCAUGCAAGUCGCGCGCACAGACGAGGAGCUUGCUCCUCUGACGUUAGCGGCGGACGGGUGAGUAACACGUGGAUAACCUACCUAUAAGACUGGGAUAACUUCGGGAAACCGGAGCUAAUACCGGAUAAUAUAUUGAACCGCAUGGUUCAAUAGUGAAAGACGGUUUUGCUGUCACUUAUAGAUGGAUCCGCGCCGCAUUAGCUAGUUGGUAAGGUAACGGCUUACCAAGGCGACGAUGCGUAGCCGACCUGAGAGGGUGAUCGGCCACACUGGAACUGAGACACGGUCCAGACUCCUACGGGAGGCAGCAGUAGGGAAUCUUCCGCAAUGGGCGAUAGCCUGACGGAGCAACGCCGCGUGAGUGAUGAAGGUCUUCGGAUCGUAAAACUCUGUUAUUAGGGAAGAACAAAUGUGUAAGUAACUAUGCACGUCUUGACGGUACCUAAUCAGAAAGCCACGGCUAACUACGUG